rnacentral:lncRNA from 1 species
AGAACCACAGGGAUGGUCUAGCAUGCAGGAAACCCUGGGCUCCAUCUCCAGUAUGGAGGGCUGUGGUGGAAACAGCAUCAAACUACGAUCUUCAUCAAUCUUCAGGUGAGUGGUUUAAACCCUAGGCUGCUGAGCCCAUCGGGGUUUCUGAUUGAGUAGAUGAAACCUGGCUCUCCCCAGUGAUGUCAACUACUCGAGUGGGAACCGCCCCUCCCCGCUUUGAGAACACUAACUCACAGCGCUCUCAUGGAGACGAUUUCCUGGCAUGGUAUUUAUCAGCAGAUGCUUUCUGAAACACUAGAAGUAUUACAAGAAAGGUGUGCUGUGGUUAAAUGUGUCAGGAGAAUACUAGAUUGAAAGAGGUUGUUAAAGGAAACUCCUUUUGAGAAACCUUUUAUAGUUUGCUGUCUAUAGACACAAAACUUAUUGUCAGCAUCUGCCUGACUUUUAAUCCCAGGAAAUGCUUACCCAGAAAGAUGAUAUAGAAAAAAAAAUCUUACUUCUUGUUGCAAGAAUAUCCUGAAAGUCCACUAAACACAAGGCUACUCAGUUUACUUUGUUGAAUAAAUACUACUUGCCCAGAUAAUAAAUCACAACAAAAGAUUGCUUACUCCCCAAUACUGCUUGUGACCUCACCCUGCUCUGCCCACUGACAAUCUCUUUAGGUCACAUACUCUCACAAUUCUAACUUAUUUACAGUCACACAACUGAAGGCUCUUCUCUUGGGAUGAGCAAGGAAACUGGGCUCUGUAUUGGUGAGCUUGAUGUUGGUGGACUUCUGGGCACUUCUGGGUGGGUUCAUCUGCAGGUAGAACUAGGAAGCCCAGAGCAUGAUGACAGUAACUUGGGGCUCAGAGAUUCUCUUAUGCUGCCUUUCUUCUGGAACAAUUGCUACUGUAAAACGCCAACCAUUCUUUUUACUCCCAAGUUUUGCAGUUACAAAGGACUUUCAGAGGGAGAAGCUCAGCAAAGCUUCACUGCAGUUGAGAAAGACUAGGGGUGCCACCAAAGAACUCAAAACGGAGGACUUGCUAAGAGUCACAGCCACUCAAAAAUGCAAGGCAUUAAGCCUCACUUUUAAAUCCACCACUCAGCUUCCUGUCUGGCAAUACAAGGCAACACUUAACUAAACAUCGACCAAUUCUACAUUCCAUCCCUCAAGUCUUCACUACAUAAUUUUAACAUAGAUGCUCUCCCACCUGGGGGCUGCUUUUAGUAUAGUUUAUUCUGUAUACUAUGGAAUUAUUUGUUUCUGGACCAGGUUUCUGGUGAUUUCUCUGAUUAGAAAUUUAUAGUUUUCACCAAAGGAGUCUCACUAGGUAUACAAACCAUACUUAAGGACAGGCCCAGCAAUAGAUAGCCAAGAAAUUGAACUCAAUGUGUUUUUGAAGAUUUUGAUGUUUUUGUUGUUUUUCUUUUUUUUUUAAUUUUUUUGUGUUUGUUUGUUUACCUAUUUAUUUACUUUUGCUUAACAGAUGUUUUGCUUACAUAUCAUGGUCCCCAAUUUUGUUUUUAUGAAUGAUCUGUGCGUGAAUGUGAGUGUCUCAGCAUCUCUAUGUGUUUCUUGUGCUUUCUCUUUUGCAUCCCCCCCUCCCUUUUAAAUCUGGUCCUAUUUUGGUUUGUUUUUAUUUUAUUUUCUUAUUAUUAUUAGAUUCUGAUUUGUAUCCUAAUGAGAGAGAAGAAAAGGGUGUGGGUUUGGAUGGGAAGAGAAGUUGGUGGAGGGGAAACUGUUAUCAGAAUAUGUAUGAGAACAAUCUAUUUACUAUAAAAUUAAUUAAUUACUUAACAAGGAACUGGUGGGAUGGUUCAGCAGGUAAAGAAAGGCACUUGCCUCAAGAGCCUGAACUAUGACUUCCAUACCUAGAACACAUGGGGUGGGGCGGCGGGAAUCUGUUCCCACAGCUGUCCUCUGACCUCGACAUGCCUGCCGCGGCACACCCACUCCCUCUUACACAUAUAUACAUCAUUUUUG